UAGCUGCUUUGUUGUACAAAAGGGGUUUUUGUCAUUAAUUGUGUUGUUUGUUGUAGAGAUCUGCUGUCUCGUGAUAACCUUUUUGAAAUCAUCACCAAUACCAGAACCUUCUACAUCCAGACAGACACCCCAGAAGACAUGAAGGGCUGGAUCAAGGAUAUCUCCUCAAAAAUUCAAGACUUUAGAGGGCCAUCUAAGUUGCGCUCUUCCAGCAAAACCUUUUCUGCGCAGAGGAAGCCUCAGCUUGUGAAGUCCUGCUCCACUGCAGAUUCCUGGCAGCCGUGGACCCCGGUGCCCAAUCAGGAGAAGCAUUUGAAGGAAGAGGGUCAGAGAGAAGGGCCGUACAGCUCUCUUCCCUCACUCUCACACAUGGGCCACGUCUUUCAGUCAACGACUCGACAACGACACCAUUCCCAGCCCCAACUCGCUCCCAGCGACACAGACUUUCCCGACAGUCUUGACAAUCUCCGCUCCACUGAUGUUUAGUUGCUUUAAUGGAUACUGCUGGCCAGCACAUGGAUAGUGUUAUGAUUUUAGCUUUUUGAUUGUUGCUUUUUUUGUUCAGUGGUACGCACACAAGUGCAUCAGUCAUUGCAGUGCUGCUCACUCACUCUAAAGGAAUAGUUCCCAAAUUUAGUUACCAAAUUCUGCCCAAAAAUUCUGUCAUUAUUUACUCAAGCUCCAGCAAGCAAUGUAUGGCAAGAAUUGUGUACCAUUUCUUCAAGCGAUUGUACUUUUGUCUUUUUACAGAAAAAAACAAAACAAAAUACUUUGGGAACAAAAAAAAUGGUUUGGAACUAUAUGUAGAAGAGAAUUGUCAUUUUGGCUGAACUAUUCCUUUAAAAGAAUGUGUCUUUUUAUGUAUGUAGGAAUGUGUAAUGAGGAAGGAUCAUCUGGUGAAAAGACAUUUCAUGUGUUGUGUUGCUUUACUUAAUUUCCCAAGACAUAAAGUGGGGUCUGAAAGUCGGAGACAACUUGUGAAAUGCUUUUUUUGUAUUAUAUAAUGAUAUUUUCAUCACAAAAAAACUGAUGAACAUGUUAUCCAGCAUGAUUUAAGAAUGUCCCAAAGAGCAUCUUGUGCACUGCAAUGAAUAUUCUGCGUUUUGAUUCUUUUGCUUUGUUUACUUUGUUUUUUUUAAAUAUGAGAUAUUUACAUUUCAAGAUAAAAAAACCUCAAUUUUCAAUGUGGUCUCAAACUUUUGGACCCGCUUGUACACUUGAAAGUAUUGUUGGUACUUGUGGUAGACUUCAGUCAAGGCAUGUGGACUUAUUUUGAAGACUUUUUGUUUUCAAUAUCACUAAUGAAGGCGCUUGAAGGAUUAGGACAACUUUGACUAGACAUUCUAUAAUGAUUUUCGUGACUGAAAACAUUUUAAUAUUGAUUGCUUUGAAAUGCCUGAAAAAGUUAAUAGAAUUCUUUCGUUUGUUGUUGUGAAUGGUACUACAUGUUGACAAGUAGGUAAUGUUUCUGUUGCUCAAACUACUUGUUUUUUUGAUAUGCGUCAUUGCUAGAUAUGCAUCGUCGCUUUGCACAUGAAAUAAACCAGUCCUUGAAGGAAAAAA
ensembl:lncRNA